rnacentral:lncRNA from 1 species
GUCCUUCCCCCAUCCUCGGUCGCCAGCGCUUCUCCGGCAGCCUCGUCCUGAAAUCGUGCGAUUGUGAGCUAGAAGCCUUCUGGGUCACUCAUAAACCAAAGAGAAAAUAAGGUGCACUCGAGUUUCCCGUCUAAAUAUUUUCCCUGGAGAUGGAAAGGUGCGCUGGCGGCCGGGGAGCCGCGACCUGGGGCGCGCUGGGCCUCGCAGAGCAGCCGCGGACCCCGGCGAUCGUGCCGUGUUCGUCUCCUUUGUGUUUCUUUAUUGAGUCCCUACUACCUCUACGGAUAUUCUGGGGGCAAUUAAAGAAAAUCACCGCUUCAUAGGCAGCACAUAUUUCCCAUAGAAAUGUGGAAUGUAAGAAAGGCACAUAAAGCAAUCCAAGUUGCCUGCAGAUAUCCACAGCCUACUUCAGUCUCAGUAAUGCUCUUUUAACCUGGCUAUAUGGAGAGUUGACAGAAAAUACAGGAUCAUCAAUCAAUGAUACAGUAAAUACAGAAUUCCUCACAGAUGAUGAAUGUUGUCCUUCAGCGUCUGUGGUCACUUCCACCUUUAACUAAAGUUGGAGUUGGAAGAAAGGCAAUGUGACUCCAAACUUCACAGUACCUCCAUCUUAGACAAACACGACUCUCUCCUUCACCUGCGUGCCAGCUGAGGGAGUUCUGUUCCAUUGCUGUCUCCGGGGACUCUGUCAGUAUAUUUGAUGUAAUACUUGUUUCUGUCCAUAAAACAUGUGAUGAUGAGAAGAUCGCAGUGCAGAUCCAAAAUCAUAUGCUCACUGCAGGCUUGGACUCCCUGCUGGAUGUUGUGUACGUGGAGGGCUCCUGCUUAUGCCACUAGGACAAAAUGACCGCUUUUGCUUAAGAGAUAUAGUUCCUACUGAUUUUUAUAAUUCCAUUAAGAGUCAAUCUUGUUUGGAAUGGGUUCAAUCCUUGCUACUGUCAUUCCAAUAGGAUUUGUUCAAGAAUCUAGGAUAUUUUGAUUAUUUACAGCAUAUUCCACAUUAAACCAGAAAAGAGAACCAUUUAUCUGUAUAUUAUUUCAGAUCACUAUGUGUCUUAGUAUUUUCUGAUAGGGAGUAUCAAUAUCCUUUAAUCAUUCAUUCACUUAUUUAUUUGUUAAAUAAAUGCUUAUUAAAUGUGU